rnacentral:rRNA from 1 species
GACGUAGGGCGCGAGCGUUGUCCGGAUUUAUUGGGCGUAAAGAGCUCGUAGGCGGCUUGUCGCGUCGGCUGUGAAAACCCGUGGCUCAACUGUGGGCGGGCAGCUGAUACGGGCAGGCUGGAGUUCGGUAGGGGCAGAGGGAAUUUCCGGUGGAGCGGUGAAAUGCGUAGAGAUCGGAAAGAACACCAACGGCGGAAAGCACUCUGCUGGGCCGACACUGACACUGGAGAGACGAAAGCUAGGGGAGCGAAAUGGG